CUCCAAAGACAAUGAGUAAUUAAAGGCCUUUGAAUUACUCAUGCUCGUUUUUCUGAAACCAAAGAUUUUUUUUUUUAUUGUUCUUCUAAAUAAAUUAAGGAACUAUAUUUUUAUCUCUCAAAUCUGAAAAUCAUGCUUGAAACAAAUGCUGAGUACUUCUUAAUGCUGAAAGCAGCAUUCCCUUCUGAUAAAAUACAUUUUAAUCCUCAGAAUCUGAUAUAACUGAUAAUGCCCGCAGAAACCUUUGAAUUGUUGGUGAUUGUGGGGCUGUUGUUUUGCUGUGUUGGUCAUGUAUCACUGCUGAUCUUGUCAUCCUGGGUCACUCACCCACCAACAGAUACUUAACACACUGCGUAUUCCCUCCAGGGUGAAUUAGCUGCAUGCCCAGGGCUGCUGUUUCUUGCUAAUAGCUAUUAAGUGAGCUUCUUUCUACAAAAGAAUUAGAGCAGCUAAUAAAAAUUAGAGCUCACAAAAUAGAGCACCCAGAAUACUGGAGAAAAUUUUAACUAUGAUGUAUCUUUCACAACAGAAAGAAACUUGCAAGGUUUAGUGUAAUGCAAUCAAAGAGCACAGCACACUCACACAACAAAAUGAAGCUUUGAUGCCAACAGAAAUCUGAGGCCAGGGAACCAUUCCCAAAUUUUGAACACAUUUCUACU
rnacentral:lncRNA from 1 species